rnacentral:rRNA from 1 species
AACGAACGCUGGCGGCAUGCCUAACACAUGCAAGUCGAACGAAGGCUUCGGCCUUAGUGGCGCACGGGUGCGUAACGCGUGGGGAUCUGCCCUUUGCUUCGGAAUAACAGUUAGAAAUGACUGCUAAUACCGGAUGAUGUCGUAAGACCAAAGAUUUAUCGGCAAAGGAUGAACCCGCGUAGGAUUAGCUAGUUGGUGGGGUAAAGGCCUACCAAGGCGACGAUCCUUAGCUGGUCUGAGAGGAUGAUCAGCCACACUGGGACUGAGACACGGCCCAGACUCCUACGGGAGGCAGCAGUGGGGAAUAUUGGACAAUGGGCGAAAGCCUGAUCCAGCAAUGCCGCGUGAGUGAUGAAGGCCUUAGGGUUGUAAAGCUCUUUUACCCGGGAUGAUAAUGACAGUACCGGGAGAAUAAGCUCCGGCCAACUCCGUGCCAGCAGCCGCAGUAACAC